CACGUAGGGCGCAAGCGUUGUCCGGAAUUAUUGGGCGUAAAGAGCUCGUAGGCGGUUUGUUGCGUCGGCCGUGAAAACCUGCAGCUUAACUGUGGGCCUGCGGCCGAUACGGGCAGACUUGAGUUCGGUAGGGGAGACUGGAAUUCCUGGUGUAGCGGUGAAAUGCGCAGAUAUCAGGAGGAACACCGGUGGCGAAGGCGGGUCUCUGGGCCGAUACUGACGCUGAGGAGCGAAAGCGUGGGGAGCGAACAGG
rnacentral:rRNA from 1 species